rfam:Oryza punctata chromosome 5, whole genome shotgun sequence.
UUUAAGUAUAGUUGUGGGUUUCAGUGCUCAACGUUUGACCGUCCGUUUUAUUGGAAAUUCUUUUAUGAUUUAUUGUUAUUAGAUGAUAAAACAUGAAUAAUAUUUUAUACGUGACUUAUUUUUUAAUUUUUUAAUAAACUUUUUAAAUAAGACGAACGAUCAAGUUGGGUCGCACUUAAA